AUGUUGACCCGGCUUCGUCAGUGCUAUUAGCCUUCUGGUGAUGCCUUAUACCUGUCUGUGGUUCGUCAGGAGCAUGCUCUUCAGCAGGGUGACUCCACUGUUGAUGAGUUCUAUACACGGAGUUCUGCAAUCUGGCGUUAGCUUGAUUCUCUCCGCACUGCUGGUUGUCGUACUUGUCAGUGUUGCCAGGCUGUGUGGGCUGAUUUGGAGUUUCAUCGUGUCUACGAGUUAUUGUCUCGACUUCGUAAGGAGUUUGAGCCCCGGCACGGUCAGUUGUUUGCUCGUGGUCGUAUCCCCCUCAUGGAGGCGCUUUCUAAGAUCUGUGCUGAGGAGACUCGCCUACGUGGUGCUGGUUUACUUGAGGUUCCCUCUAUGCUCGAUGAUCGAGUUCCUGCUAUGCCGCCUGCUGCACUGACUCCUUCCCGCUCGAGUGCUCCGUCGCUCCUGCCUACUCCUACGGGUGGUCAGGGUUGAUCUCGUCCGCAUUGCGGCUACUGCAACCAGGAUGGUCAUGUUGAGUCUUCGUGCUUCACGAAGAAGAAACACCUGCAUAAGGUGCGGACAUCAUCUUUCGGGACUUCUACUUCUACUUCGACAUCUUCGGCCACCGCCUUGCCUAAGCAGGAUAUUCUGAGACUUAAGUGUCUCCUUGCUGCUUCGGGUUAUUCUUCGAUGGGUAUUGUAGGUUCUGUGACUGAUGCUUCCCGCACUAAGCAACCACCAUGUACAUAG
rnacentral:rRNA from 1 species